GAAAAGGCAGAUGUUUAAAAAGGCAGAUUAUUAACAGACAUGAACAAUCAAAUCAGUCAAAUGGAUUUGGUUCCAAAUAUUCCACCAAAGACUGAACAUGAGCAACAAUUACCUGCACAUUAAGCACAUAAACACACACACAUAAAGCUGAACAUCAUGAAACAAUCCUCAUUCAGAUAAUGUGUAUUUGUAUCAGUCUUGUGGAGUUCUUUAUGUCUUCUGUCUAAGACCAUGUGUGUCUGUGAGCCGCUACACGUGAGGGAACUCGAACCCUUUUGGCUGGUCGUGUCAAAGUGACCCGCAUUCCUAGAGUGUCAAAAGCAGGUCAGCACCAAAUAUAUUCUCCAGGACCUGUGAAGACACACUCAGUCUGUUUUGCAGCGCUGCAAGGUGCAUGAGAUUUCUUCCGAUAGUUAAUUAAAAAGUUUCAGUACAGAUUCAUAGUGACGACUGGAAAUUGUCGAAGUUGUGUCAGUUUUAUAAUCCAUCUGCAUGACUCAAGUUUUCAUCGAGAUUUUUUCAUGUGUGCAUCUUUUUCAGCUCUGAAACUACAAUGGGCUACAUGGAAUGAAUGGAUGAAGAUCAGCUCAUUGAGUUUGUUAUUCAAAUGAGCCUCCAAGAUGCUUGCAGUCUCUAUCUUGAACAUAUCACUAAGGACUUUAGAAACAGCUAGUGAUGAAAACCUCAAGAUUUUAUCUGCAAUAGAUCAAGAUGACGUGUUUGCACUGAGGCAACUGCACAGGUACAGUGCUGCCUAUAAGGAAAGAGACAGCAGAGGUUGGCUUCCGAUGCACAGAGCGUCUGUCCAGUCUGAUGUCUGUCUGUUGGAUUGCGUCCUCCUGGCAUCUCAUGAGCUGAGCAUGGAGGAGAUGACGUCUGAUGGAGACACCGCUCUGACUCUGGCUUGUCAAGCAGGGCAUGUGGAGAGCGUAAAGGUUCUUCUCCAACGCGGAGCAUCUCCACACAACACGAACAGCAGGAACGAGACUCCACUACUCCUGGCUGUGAGGGCAACCUCUUAUGAAAUGGCAUAUGCACUGAUAAGGGGAGGCGCCUUCGUGAGGCAGCUGUGUUUGAAGAAGUGGACGGCCACCCAUGAGGCUGCUAAGGUGGGUUGCGUGGACAUCCUGAUGCUGUUGCUGAGACACGGGGGGAAGGUGAUGGGACGGGACGGGCAUGGGGUCACACCGAUGGGCAUCGCCGCAGAGUACGGCCAUCUGGAAAUACUGGCAAUCCUUAUCCAACAUGGGGGCGACGUCACAGCACAAGCUACAAAUGGAGACAGUGUGAUAUAUGACGCCGCAGGCUGUGGGAACCUGGACUGUAUUGAUCUACUCUUACAAUAUGGUGCCAAUCCUAAUGUAGCCAGUCUUUGCUCUCAACUGCCGAUUCACCGCGCAGCCUACGAGGGGCGCUACCUGGCUCUGAAGAAGUUAAUUCCCAUCACCAAUAGGAAGGUCAUCCGUCUGUGUGGGAUGAGUCCGGUUCAUUCUGCGGCAGACGGAGGCCACGCUGACUGUCUUGAGCUGCUCAUCAAGAAAGGUUUUGACGUCAACCCAAUCCUGGGCUGCCAUAUUUCCAAAAACUACGGUGACAUGAGGAAGACCCCACUGUACUUCGCCAUCUGCAAUGGAGACGUCACCUGCGCCAAGAUGCUUCUGAAAUCAGGUGCGAAGCCGGAUCUGGACCCUCUGCGCUGCCUUCUGGUGGCGGUCAGAGCUGAGAAGUACGAGCUGGUGUCGCUGCUUCUCGCCUAUGGGGCGGACGUCAACUGCGUCUUCUCUGUCAUCAGCGACACCGUAUUUCCUACGGCAUUGCAAUAUUGCCUCAAAGAUGAAAUGAUGCUGCGCCUACUCCUUAACAACGGUUACCAUGCAGAAAGCUGCUUUGAGUGUUACCAUGACAACUGGGUAACAACAGAGGCUCCUAGCCAGUCAUACCAAAUCAGGAGCGAUACGAAUAAAGUAACCUUUUGUGAGUUUAUUAGCGUGGCAUGGAUGGCGCAUUUGGCGGGGAGGGUGGUGCAGACACUCCUAGAUUACGUGAAUCAUGUGGACAUCUGCUCUAAACUGCAAUGCAUUCUGGAGAGACAAGAGGAGUGGCCUGAUAUCUGUGAAACCCUCAGGAACCCUCGCCCUCUGAAACACCAGGCCAGGUUGGUUAUCAGGAGAUGUACGACACUGAGACGACUGAAUGACCCAGAGUUCAUGAGCACCGUUCCUUUCCCCCCCGCACUGAAGAACUUCCUGCUCUACAAAGAAUAUGAUAUUUAUGGUCGAAUGGAUGAACAGUAGAUAUAUGAAUCUAUACACUGUAAAACCUAACAGUGAAAAUCACUGAGCUUCAUCUUCUUAUCCGAAAAGAAGAGCCAGCAGAUGUUUUCAAGACACACAGAAAAAGGAGCCUGAUCAGGUGCAGAAGGCAGCAGUCACCAUCACUGAAGAGUGAACAUUGUCUUUAACACCAAUGGAUGUUUUGAUUGCAUUUGAAGAUGAGAUGAUGUCUGCCAAGUGUUGGGUUAGUGCACUGGUGCGGUUUUUUUUUGCACUCAUUUUUAAACAUUUCCUUGUUUGUGCAGUCUUGACUUAUUUGGUGAAAUGUCUGAUAAGAUUGUUUAAAUGUUAUAUUUUUGACUAUAAAGUCCACUGAUUGUGUUUUAUGUUUGAAAACAUCUUGUGAAGUAAAUGUUGCAUUUCAAUAAACACUU